AUACACAAUAAAAUUUAUGAAUGCAGUUUGUGCUUUACCUCUAUUUAAUGUCAUUAAAAAAUUGAAAUUAGAUUGUAUUUUGGCACUUUCAAUAAUUUACUUCUAUUUAUUUUUAAGAUAAAGGAUAUAGUAAGUGCAAGUAAAGUUAUCACAUCAUACUUUCUUGCACUUUAUGAACUUUUAAGUAUUAUGUUAGUCAACAUAUUGCUAUAAUGAUAAGUGCAUGUAUAACCCUAUGAAUUGCAAAUAUAUCAGGAGCUAUACUCAAUAUAAUUAUAUCUAAGGUUAUUGUAAUAAAUUUGGCAUUACAUAGGAUAUAGAAUAUCAUAUUCCAAAAAUACCAGUAUAAUGAUUCCAAUGACUGCAAUUUGUGGAAGAAAAACAUGACAUGAAAGAAGAAUAAAAAGGUUGCGAAAAGAAAAAUGGUAAACAUUCUGUGAUUAUCUGCAAUAAUGAUCACUAUCACUUCAAAAACAGCCUUGCAAGCUACUUAACAAACCGUUUAAAGUACAACAAUUUGGUGUGAUUGGGUGGCAUUCUAUAAUUACAAUGUAUACAUUUAAAAUCACGUUUCUGUUGUUUAAAUACAUAGGUUCUAAGGUUUAAAAUGAAGCAAAUGUAAACCAAUUUUUAUAUUUAACCAUUUGAUGGAUGAUGUACUGCUCAACGCCCCUGGCAUUUAAACCAAUAUUGAUGCUGGUGGAUAUUCUUUCCAUGUUAAAGUUCAGCUAUCAGAAAUUCAUAUUACAGGGUGGAUUGUGCACGGACGUUCAGCAUCUCUAACUGGUAAGCAUCCAUCCAUUUCAUUAUCUCGGACUAAAAACAGUUACAAAUCUUUACUUAACGCAACAUUCUUAACACCUAGAGCACUUUAGCUGGUGUGAACAAUGUGCCCUUAUUUUCAUGGAACAAAAAAUUACAUUUCAAUAGAAAUUGGAGCUUUUAGAAAUGAACCUGGUUACACCACUUUAUCAGACAACCACCCCUAUUAUUCCUGGUUGUUAACUCUGUGAAGAUAAACUCAAAAGGUAGGCUUUUUGAACAGAGCCACAGUUGUACCAAAAACAUAUCAUUGAGCUGCAUUGGGAAGUCUGUGACUGUGCAGUCAGUUCAAGCUUGAAAAAGAACGUUUUGUUCAAAUCUUUGUUUCCAAUAAAGUUGCCUAUCUAAACCAUAGUAGUGCCUGGACCAUUUUCUUUUUUCUGUGAAUACAAAUUACAUUUUGGGCCUUGGUGCAACAACAAACACUUCCUGACUAGAUGACACAUACUUGCAAAGUAAAUGAUUCUUCAUUAAUAAAUUCCAUCAAUUAAAGCACACAUAGGUACAUUAACUAAAACAUAACUAGCAUAAUUGAUGGUAUAAUAAACACCUGCAAUGUCCUUUGGAGGUAAAUUAAGAAACACAUAGAAUGCAAUAUCCAUUAAGAACACAGGUGAAAGGGAUACUUUUUGCAUCAAAGCAACUUUAGCUUAAUGAAGCAGUUUGGAAGUAUAGUCAUGCCCCUGCAGUCUCAUUGAUCAAUUCUCUUUCAUGUAGGAGUCAAACCACUUUUGUUUUUGAUUAUGCAGCCCUAGCCACACCUCCCCUUGUUGUGCCUGAUAAUGUUUUUUUCAUUUUUAAUCAGACCUUGACUUGCUUUACAAGUUUUCAUAUCCUGCUCUACAAAAUGAACUUUUAUCACACAAAGGAGUCUUCUGCAGAAUCUUGGAGCCUAUUAACAGAACAGGAGAUAAUAAAUUCUAGAUUAAACAGACGUGCAACAUAGAAACUUAGAAUAUUUAGGUUACUUCUCAGGAAGGCUGACAAGACUGCAAGUCACAUGCAGGGAGUAGUGACUAGUGUUGUAUAAACAAAGUUAUUGGACUCCUAAAUGUUGGAGACUGUGAGCUAUGAGACAGCAGGGGCAUGAUCUAUAAACCAAAACUGCUCCAUGUUGGUGUCUAUAUUGUCCUUUUAAUGGCACACCUGUCACAUACUAUUAUCAAUGAUCUUGGAUGUUCAUAACAUUGAGAGUGUGUUGUUAUCAAAAACCUCUCAAAUGGGGCAGUUUUUAUUUGUAGUUAACUUUGUGAUAGUCAGCCUUUAGAGCUAGACAUUGGGAGAUUGAUGAUUAAAACUAAAUCUAGACCAGCAUUUAAAACAAUAACAUUUUCUGUCUUUUGUGUUAUCGGCUGAAUAACUAGUUCAUAUUUUUGGAUUGGGAUUGCUUUGUUAAUAGUGGUGUAAUUUUGGCCAAAUGUCAGAAAACUAUAUCAACUGAUUAACAACACAGGAUUGUAAUAUAGGCAUUAGUGUCUUAACACAAUAGAUGUAAAACGUUUUUGCUUUUUUCUCUUUACU
rnacentral:lncRNA from 1 species